AAUCAACGCUGGCGGCGUGCCUCAGACAUGCAAGUCGAACGAUUAAAGCUCUCUUCGGAGAGUGUAUAGAGUGGCGCACGGGUGAGUAACACGUAAGUAAUCUACCCUCGAGUGGGGAAUAACAACCGGAAACGGUUGCUAAUACCGCAUAAUGCAGCGGCACCGCAAGGUGACAGUUGUUAAAGAUUUAUCGCUUGAGGAGGAGCUUGCGGCAGAUUAGCUAGUUGGUAGGGUAACGGCUUACCAAGGCUACGAUCUGUAACCGGUCUAAGAGGACGGUCGGUCACACUGACACUGAAUAACGGGUCAGACUCCUACGGGAGGCAGCAGUCGGGAAUUUUGGGCAACGGGCGAAAGCCUGACCCAGCAACGCCGCGUGAAGGAUGAAGUAUUUCGGUAUGUAAACUUCGAAAGAAUAGGAAGAAUUAAUGACGGUACUAUUUAUAAGGUCCGGCUAACUACGUG
rnacentral:rRNA from 1 species